CAAGUUAGCCGGGCAGUCGCUAUUUAUAGAGGAAAGUCCGGGCUCCGAAGAGCAUGGUGUUGGCUAACAGCCAACCAUUGUGAAAUGAGGAAUAGGGCCACAGAGACGAGCGUAUUUAGUUACGGUGAAACGCGGUAACCUCCACCAGGAGCAAGGCCAAAUAGGAUGACGAUAGUAUGGCUCGUACUGUCAUCGGGUAGGCCGCUAGAGAUGAUGAGUAAUCAUUAUUCAAGAUGAAUGACUGCACAAAUACAGAACCCGGCUUAUAGGCUAACUUAUUGA
rfam:beta proteobacterium KB13 scf_1106380163076 genomic scaffold, whole genome shotgun sequence.